ACGCCCUUCUGAAGAGGAAACACCUGGGCCUCAUCAGUGCAGCCAGCAUUUAAGCCAGGGAGUGGCUUCUACUCAUCGCUGGAUCGUUGUGUGUGACUCGCAUCCCCUGGACCCGACCCUGCAUUCCCCGAGCGGAUUCCCUUUUUGUGUGAGUGUCAGAAGAGGAGCAAGUGUCUUUUCCCUACCUGGAUUUCCCCGGAGCCUUUUCCCUGUCACCGCUUUGUAUAUAGCACUAUCCCCUGCACUGUUUGUAUAUACACCUGGUGGAACUGUAAUAAAUACUGACUGUGCCUCUGA